rnacentral:tRNA from 1 species
GAUCCUGUGGCUCAGUUGGUAGAGCAUGGUGUGUGCAACGCCAGGGUUGUGGGUUCAAUUCCCACGGGGGGCC